rnacentral:lncRNA from 1 species
ACCUCACGCUUGGACAUGGAGAAAGAAGGGGAUUUCCUUCUGCAAAUAAAAAACCAACUAAUCAUUUCCUUUACCUCAAAAUGUUUCCACUUGCCUUGUCCAACUAUUCCAUAAUCUCUGGCUCACUCAUCGCCUUACUCAUCUUCGAACACCCUCUGUUAUCAUGAAAAAAUCACCACCGUGCCACAGACUCAGAGCUCCACUUGUAACCAUCAUUUGUACUCGUCGACGACACAAGAAAUCAUCACCGCGAAAGUUUUUGAGUUGUUAUGGUUAUUUCUUAUUUUUAGGUAGUUCCAAUGCAGAUCACUUGACAUAAAGAGGAAUGGAGCCUGCCACGUCAAACACACCAUUAACUCAACACUGUGUUUUCCGCCUACACUCCAAC